rnacentral:rRNA from 1 species
AUCCGGUACUCGUUAAGGCUGAGCUGUGAUGGGGAGAAGACAUUGUGUCUUCGAGUCGUUGAUUUCACACUGCCGAGAAAAGCCUCUAGAUAGAAAAUAGGUGCCCGUACCGCAAACCGACACAGGUAGUCAAGAUGAGAAUUCUAAGGUGAGCGAGCGAACUCUCGUUAAGGAACUCGGCAAAAUGACCCCGUAACUUCGGGAGAAGGGGUGCUCUUUAGGGUUAACGCCCAGAAGAGCCGCAGUGAAUAGGCCCAAGCGACUGUUUAUCAAAAACACAGGUCUCUGCUAAACCGUAAGGUGAUGUAUAGGGGCUGACGCCUGCCCGGUGCUGGAAGGUUAAGAGGAGUGGUUAGCUUCUGCGAAGCUACGAAUCGAAGCCCCAGUAAACGGCGGCCGUAACUAUAACGGUCCUAAGGUAGCGAAAUUCCUUGUCGGGUAAGUUCCGACCCGCACGAAAGGCGUAACGAUUUGGGCACUGUCUCAACGAGAGACUCGGUGAAAUCAUAGUACCUGUGAAGAUGCAGGUUACCCGCGACAGGACGGAAAGACCCCGUGGAGCUUUACUGUAGCCUGAUAUUGAAAUUCGGCACAGCUUGUACAGGAUAGGUA